CAAAGAUGGCUGGCGGCGAUGUCAAUUUCGUGGCUUCAAUUCUAACACUUUUUCCACGUUUUUUUGUUUCCAUCUUUAUAUUUCUUCGCAAUGAAGAGUAUGGUGGUGUGUGGAGUGGUGCAAGGUACCUCGAGUGAACAACAGUGGGUUAAAAAAAGAGCUACAGCACUUUAUCUUCCGGAUGUAGCACAGGAGGAUUUUCAUCAGCAAUAGACACAUUAAUGUAAACAUGUAUACUCUUCAUCUACAACAAUCAAGUCCAAAGAAAAGACAAAAGAAUUGUGUAGGACUGUGACACCACUCAGGUAUACCAAGGGAGGACCUGUUGAAUGUGCUGACUAUCUUUAAUGCUCACCUGAAGUUUAGGAUGUUCCUUGUUAAAGAUCACCUUUGCCGAAGCUGCUGUUUCUUCAUUACUGCCAUCACUACAUGCAGCCCCUCAGCAUUUAGGAAUCCAAGAGGAGUAAUUACUAUGAGGAUACUUAAACAGGAUCUGUUUUUUAUGGUAGAGCUUUGACAAGCAGGUCUGGUCUCCCUAGUACUCUGAAUACGGAUAUCUGUUGGAACUCAUGAGCAGCUGUCUAAUCACUGGUGCAUGUAGUUCAGUCACGUCUGCAUUAUGAAACUUGGUGGAUGAUUGGAAGUCCAAUUUGUGAAUCAUAUGAAUGAAGGAAGUUCGAAUCAUUGAGACUGACGAUAUCAAGAUGUUCCAAAGGUAUUUCUGUUGGGACAGCAAACUUGAACAAGUUGCCAAGAGAACCUACAAUCAAGAUUACUACAUGUGUCUUACCUUGCCAACAUCAAUGUAUUUUAUACUCGCUGCAUUAUUAAAACUCAAAA